AGUGAACGCUGGCGGUAGGCCCAACACAUGCAAGUCGAACGGCAGCACAGUAAGAGCUUGCUCUUACGGGUGGCGAGUGGCGGACGGGUGAGGAAUACAUCGGAAUCUACUUUUUCGUGGGGGAUAACGUAGGGAAACUUACGCUAAUACCGCAUACGACCUACGGGUGAAAGCAGGGGAUCUUCGGACCUUGCGCGAUUGAAUGAGCCGAUGUCGGAUUAGCUAGUUGGCGGGGUAAAGGCCCACCAAGGCGACGAUCCGUAGCUGGUCUGAGAGGGUGAUCAGCCACACUGGAACUGAGACACGGUCCAGACUCCUACGGGAGGCAGCAGUGGGGAAUAUUGGACAAUGGGCGCAAGCCUGAUCCAGCCAUACCGCGUGGGUGAAGAAGGCCUUCGGGUUGUAAAGCCCUUUUGUUGGGAAAGAAAAGCAGCAGGUUAAUACCCCGCUGUUCUGACGGUACCCAAAGAAUAAGCACCGGCUAACUUCGUG
rnacentral:rRNA from 1 species